UACGUAGGGACCAAGCGUUGUUCGGAUUUACUGGGCGUAAAGGGCGCGUAGGCGGCUUAACAAGUCACUUGUGAAAUCUCCGGGCUUAACUCGGAACGGCCAAGUGAAACUGUCAAGCUAGAGUGCAGAAGGGGCAAUCGGAAUUCUUGGUGUAGCGGUGAAAUGCGUAGAUAUCAAGAGGAACACCUGAGGUGAAGACGGGUUGCGGGGCAGACACUGACGCUGAGGCGCGAAAGCCAGGGGAGCAAACGGG
rnacentral:rRNA from 1 species